AGCUGGAAGCAAGGAGGAGAGCCAGCACCAUAUGACCAGAAAGCUCCCCAGAGAUCACAGUUUGGGAACCUCCCACACAGUAAAGGCCACUGGUUAAUGAUGCACUGUUUGAAGAGGAGCUGUUCCACUUGGUGUAAAUAAUUAAAUAGUAAUUCUAGCCGGGACUUCAACUGGAUGCUCUACAUGCUAGGAAUAUGUCCAAAUCAACCAGCCCCACUCCCUUGGAUGAUGGCCUGGGUCCAGCUGCAGCUCUAUAGAUAUAUUCAAAAAGGAACCAUAUUCCAGGAACCAUAUGAUUAAAUCUCAGUUUUAAUAAAACUUGUGCCAGAGCAUCAGCCUAUAUAGUCUCCCACAUACAGCUAAUGCAACCCAUUGAGGACUCUCAGGACUACAAGCACUAGUGAGAAACCAAUGGCAGCAUGGCAGUUUGACUCAGAUGUGCUGCUGAUGUUGGUGAGAAGGCCACAAAGUGAAGAGGCACCUCAGCUGUGCAUGCCUCCCUGGCCUUCUACAAUAUCCCCAUCCUGUGUUUUUAGUGGGAUCAUGCAGCAUAACUAGUCCCCCUCUGCUAUCCUGGAUUUUCCCUAGUAAAUUCUCCCCUUUGGCAUAUAUUUACAUGGACGGUAGAGAACACGGCCUUUUGAAUUUAAUGCAAAUACUUAAGUGCAGCUGCUAAUGACGAUUGCUGCCAAAUUUCCUCUUUGAUCAAUAUUCCUAAUGCAAUUUACCAGAACCCAUUUAAAACCAUCAACAGGAUAAGAUGAUGAUAA